UCCCUUGUAGCUUAGUUGGUAAAGAAUCUGCCUGCAAUGCAGGAGACCUGGGUUCAAUUCCUGGGUCAGGAA
rnacentral:tRNA from 1 species